rnacentral:misc_RNA from 1 species
UAUCCGUAGGUGAACCUGCGGAAGGAUCAUUAUUGUAUAACCGAGGUGCGAGGGCUGUCGCUGACCCGAAAGGUCGUGCACGCCCGAGUGCCCUCACACACAUUCAUCUCACCCCUAUGUGCACCACCGCGUGGGUCCCCCUUUGGCUUGUUCGGAGGGGGGCUUACGUUUUCACACAAACUUUGUAUGCAGUGUAGAAUGUAUUUUUUGUUUUUGCGAUCACGCAAUCAAUACAACUUUCAACAACGGAUCUCUUGGCUCUC